rnacentral:rRNA from 1 species
GAGUUUGAUUAUGGCUCAGGAUGAACGCUGGCGGCGUGCUUAACACAUGCAAGUCGAACGGGCGAAUUAUAUCGGAGGUCUUCGGGCUAAAGAGAUAAUAAGCUAGUGGCGGACGGGUGCGUAACGUGUGGGUAAUCUGCCUUUGUCAUAGGAAUAACUGCUUGAAAAAGUAGCUAAUACCAAAUAACAUAUCGUAUAGGCAUCUAUAAGAUAUCAAAGAGAAAUCGGACAAAGAUGAGCCCGCAUCUGAUUAGCUGGUUGGUAGGGUAAAAGCCUACCAAGGCGACGAUCAGUAGCCGGCCUGAGAGGGUGAACGGCCACAUUGGAACUGAGACACGGUCCAAACUCCUACGGGAGGCAGCAGUGGGGAAUAUUGCACAAUGGGGGGAACCCUGAUGCAGCAACGCCGCGUGAGUGAAGAAGGCUUUCGAGUCGUAAAACUCUGUUGUAAGGGAAGAUAAUGACGUACCUAAAAGAAGCCCCG